rnacentral:rRNA from 1 species
UACAGAGGUCCCAAGCGUUACUGAGAAUCACUGGGUUUAAAGGGUGCGUAGGUGGUCCGUUAAGUCAGUUGUGAAAUCCCCGGGCUCAACCCGGGAACUGCUUCUGAUACUGGCGGACUUGAGGCCAGUAGGGGUCACUAGAACUGACGGUGGAGCGGUGAAAUGCGUAGAUAUCAGGAGGAACACCUGCGGUGUAGACGGCUUUCUGGACCAUUGUUGACGCUGAGACACGAAAGCGUGGGUAGCAAACAGG